rnacentral:rRNA from 1 species
CAGCAGCCGCGGUAACACGAAGGGUGCAAGCGUUAAUCGGAAUUACUGGGCGUAAAGCGUGCGUAGGCGGUUUGUUAAGUCUGUUGUGAAAUCCCCGGGCUCAACCUGGGAAUGGCAAUGGAUACUGGCAAGCUAGAGUAUGUCAGAGGAUGGUGGAAUUCCCGGUGUAGCGGUGAAAUGCGUAGAGAUCGGGAGGAACAUCAGUGGCGAAGGCGGCCAUCUGGGACAACACUGACGCUGAGGCACGAAAGCGUGGGGAGCAAACAGGAUUAGAUACCCCUGUAGUCCCUGUCUCUUAUAC